rnacentral:piRNA from 1 species
UCUGCAUUUAGUUUGAACUCCUUUUUGGUC